AUUGAACGCUGGCGGCAGGCCUAACACAUGCAAGUCGAGCGAGGGGCGGACGGGUGAGUUAUGUCGGGGAAACUGCCUGAUGGAGGGGGAUAACUACUGGAAACGGUAUCUAAUACCGCAUACCAUCAGAUGUGCCCAGAUGGGAUGCGCUAGUAGGUGGGGUAAUGGCUCACCGAGGCGACGAUCCCUAGCUGGUCUGAGAGGAUGAACAGCCACACUGGAACUAAGACACGGCCCAGACUCCUACGGGAGGCAGCAGUGGGGAAUAUUGCACAAUGGGCGCAAGCCUGAUGCAGCCAUGCCGCGUGUGUGAAGAAGGCCUUCGGGUUGUAAAGCACUUUCAGCGAGGAGGCGUUACUCGCAGAAGAAGCACCGGCUAACUCCGUGCCAGCAGCCGCGGUAAUAC
rnacentral:rRNA from 1 species